UUUUAACAGACCUUUUUUUUUUUUUUUUUAAUAAUAACGUGAGGAGAAUAGCUGCUUAUUGCUGGCUGCGUUUAGCCGUUGCUGAGAAAAACAGCCUUGCAGAGAGUGUGUGAAACACUGUAACUCCCCGUUUCCAUUUCAUGCAUCCUAGGUGGAAGUUUUGAUAUUGAUCUCAAUCUUCAACGCGGCUGUGGAGCGCAGAAGAAAGUGGAGGACAAGGCUCCAGUGAAGAAGAAAUAAUGACCAUUUUCUCAGCUUCCCUGAGAGAAAGUGCUGUUUCUGUAUUAGCGUGUGUGUGUUUCGUUUGUCUCUCG